rnacentral:rRNA from 1 species
CCUACGGGUGGCAGCAGUGAGGAAUAUUGGUCAAUGGGCGCGAGCCUGAACCAGCCAAGUCGCGUGAGGGAUGACGGUCCUACGGAUUGUAAACCUCUUUUGCCGGGGAGCAAGCGUGCGUUCGUGAACACGCGUCGAGAGUACCCGGAGAAAAAGCAUCGGCUAACUCCGUGCCAGCAGCCGCGGUAAUACGGAGGAUGCGAGCGUUAUCCGGAUUUAUUGGGUUUAAAGGGUGCGCAGGCGGAGGUGCAAGUCAGCGGUCAAAUUGCGGGGCUCAACCCCGUACUGCCGUUGAAACUGCAUCCCUUGAGUGCGCGAGAAGUAUGCGGAAUGCGUGGUGUAGCGGUGAAAUGCAUAGAUAUCACGCAGAACUCCGAUUGCGAAGGCAGCAUACCGGCGCGCAACUGACGCUCAUGCACGAAAGCGUGGGUAUCGAACAGGAUUAGAUACCCUAGUAGUC